rnacentral:rRNA from 1 species
GUCAUCUAGCUCUUCCGCAAACCAUUCUUCCCUGAUAAAAGAACUUUACAUACCGAAGUACUUCUUCAUUCACGCGGCCUCGCUCGGGCAGGGUUUCCCCCAUUGCCCAAAAUUACGAACUGCUGCCUCCCGUAGGAGUA